rnacentral:rRNA from 1 species
UGAGUAACACGUAUGCAACCUGCCUGCCACAGCCGGAUAAUCGGGAGAAAUUCCGUCUAAUACGGCAUAAUGCAUCGACGGGACAUCCUGUUGGUGCCAAAGGUUGAUUCCGGUGGCGGAUGGGCAUGCGUCGCAUUAGUUAGUUGGCGGUGUAACGGGCCACCAAGACGACGAUGCGUAGGGGUUCUGAGAGGAAGGUCCCCCACACUGGUACUGAGACACGGACCAGACUCCUACGGGAGGCAGCAG